ACCAAUACGGCGCAGUUUUCGCCGCACGCGCACGAGCUGACACCGGUGAUAAGUGAUAAGCGCUGGGAAAUCGCCUAAGUUGAAGUACAAAACACUUUUAGAACUGCUAGAUUGUUGCAAACGCCACAAUGCCGAUCCCUGCUGGAUAUGGGGCCCAGGGGCCAAGCUGUUUUGACAAGAUGAAGAUGGGAUUUGGCAUUGGAUUUUGUGUCGGAAUGGCAAGUGGUGCGCUAUUUGGAGGAUUCUCUGCCCUGAGGUACGGGCUGCGAGGCCGGGAGCUUAUCAACAACGUGGGCAAGGUGAUGUUGCAGGGAGGCGGCACGUUCGGCACCUUCAUGGCGAUAGGCACGGGCAUUCGGUGUUGACCAUGUCGCCCCUUCUUCGCCAUGCUGUCUCGCGAGUGUUUAGUGUGAUACCGGGAAUUCAAAUGGCCACUUGAAAUCCCGUACUGAAUCAUAUGUAUGGUAUCCUCAGCCACCUCAUAUGGUUAUUGCAAUGGGUUGAGCAGGAAACGCUGUUUUGUAGUGUGCAUUGUGUAAUAAAAUAACCACAGUAUAUCAA
rnacentral:lncRNA from 1 species